rnacentral:rRNA from 1 species
GACGAACGCUGGCGGCGUGCCUAAUACAUGCAAGUCGAACGCACUCUCGUUUAGAUUGAAGGAGCUUGCUCCUGAUUGAUAAACAUUUGAGUGAGUGGCGGACGGGUGAGUAACACGUGGGUAACCUGCCCUAAAGUGGGGGAUAACAUUUGGAAACAGAUGCUAAUACCGCAUAAAACCUAACACCGCAUGGUGUAGGGUUGAAAGAUGGUUUCGGCUAUCACUUUAGGAUGGACCCGCGGUGCAUUAGUUAGUUGGUGAGGUAAAGGCUCACCAAGACCGUGAUGCAUAGCCGACCUGAGAGGGUAAUCCGCCACACUGGGACUGAGACACGGCCCAGACUCCUACGGGAGGCAGCAGUAGGGAAUCUUCCACAAUGGACGAAAGUCUGAUGGAGCAACGCCGCGUGAGUGAAGAAGUUUCGGAUCGUAAAACUCUGUUGUUGGAGAAGAAUGUAUCUGAUAGUAACUGAUCAGGUAGUGACGGUAUCCAACCAG